rnacentral:rRNA from 1 species
GACGUAGGGCGCGAGCGUUGUCCGGAUUUAUUGGGCGUAAAGAGCUCGUAGGCGGCUUGUCGCGUCGAAUGUGAAAUCCUGCGGCUCAACUGCAGGCUUGCAUUCGAUACGGGCAGGCUCGAGUUCGGUAGGGGAGACUGGAAUUCCUGGUGUAGCGGUGAAAUGCGCAGAUAUCAGGAGGAACACCGGUGGCGAAGGCGGGUCUCUGGGCAACAACUGACGCUGAGGAGCGAAAGCGUGGGGAGCGAACAGG